AUUGAACGCUGGCGGCAGGCUUAACACAUGCAAGUCGAGCGAGCGGCGGACGGGUGAGUAAUGUCUGGGAAACUGCCUGAUGGAGGGGGAUAACUACUGGAAACGGUAGCUAAUACCGCAUACCAUCAGAUGUACCCAGAUGGGAUUAGCUAGUAGGUGGGGUAAGGGCUCACCUAGGCGACGAUCCCUAGCUGGUCUGAGAGGAUGACCAGCCACACGGGAACUGAGACACGGUCCAGACUCCUACGGGAGGCAGCAGUGGGGAAUAUUGCACAAUGGGCGCAAGCCUGAUGCAGCCAUGCCGCGUGUGUGAAGAAGGCCUUAGGGUUGUAAAGCACUUUCAGCGAGGAGGCGUUACCCGCAGAAGAAGCACCGGCUAACUCCGUGCCAGCCGCCGCGGUAAUUC
rnacentral:rRNA from 1 species